AGAGUUUGAUCCUGGCUCAGGACGAACGCUGGCGGCGUGCCUAAUACAUGCAAGUAGAACGCUGAAGAGAGGAGCUUGCUCUUCUUGGAUGAGCUGCGAACGGGUGAGUAACGCGUAGGUAACCUGCCUGGUAGCGGGGGAUAACUAUUGGAAACGAUAGCUAAUACCGCAUAAAAUUGAUUAUUGCAUGAUAAUUAAUUGAAAGAUGCAAUUGCAUCACUACCAGAUGGACCUGCGUUGUAUUAGCUAGUUGGUGAGGUAACGGCUCACCAAGGCGACGAUACAUAGCCGACCUGAGAGGGUGAUCGGCCACACUGGGACUGAGACACGGCCCAGACUCCUAAGGGAGGCAGCAGUAGGGAAUCUUCGGCAAUGGGGGGAACCCUGACCGAGCAACGCCGCGUGAGUGAAGAAGGUUUUCGGAUCGUACAGCUCUGUUGUAAGAGAAGAACGGGUGUGAGAGUGGAAAGUUCACACUGUGACGGUAUCUUACCAGAAAGGGACGGCUAACUACGUGCCAGCGGCCGCGGUAAUACGUAGGUCCCGAGCGUUGUCCGAUUUAUUGGGCGUAAAGCGAGCGCAGGCGGGUAGAUAAGUCUGAAGUUAAAGGCUGUGGCUUAACCAUAGUAUGGCUUGGAAACUGGUUCACUGGGGUGCGGAGGGGGAAAGGGGAAUUCCAUGUGUAGCGGGUAAAUGCGUAGAUAUUUGGAGGAACCCGGG
rnacentral:rRNA from 1 species